CGCUGGUGAUGGGAGUGGCUUUCUGCUGGCCCUGGUGAUGGCAGCCGCAGCACGCGAGGGACCGCAGUGUCUGAAGGAGACAGUGGAGAUUUCCUCUGGAAGACAUCCCGCUGGAUGAAAAGGAAGCAGCUCAGUGGCUUCAUAAACUGUACCAGGAGAAGGACGCGCUCCAGGAGAUAUAUAAUCAGAAGGGCAUGUUUCCAGGGGAGCAGUUUAAGCCUGCCCGGAGGCCGUGGACCCUCCUGAACUUCCUGUCCUGGGCCACCAUUCUCCUGUCUCCCCUCUUCAGUUUUGUCUUGGGCGUCUUUGCCAGCGGAUCACCUCUCCUGAUCCUGACUUUCUUGGGGUUUGUGGGAGCAGCUUCCUUUGGAGUUCGCAGACUGAUAGGAGUAACUGAGAUAGAAAAAGGCUCCAGCUACGGAAACCAAGAGUUUAAGAAAAAGGAAUAAUUAAUGGCUGUGACUGAACACACGCGGCCCUGACGGUGGUAUCCAGUUAACUCAAAACCAACACACAGAGUGCAGGAAAAGACAAUUAGAAACUAUUUUUCUUAUUAACUGGUGACUAAUAUUAACAAAACUUGAGCCAAGAGUAAAGAAUUCAGAAGGCCUGUCAGGUGAAGUCUUCAGCCUCCCACAGCGCAGGGUCCCAGCAUCUCCACGCGCGCCCGUGGGAGGUGGGUCCGGCCGGAGAGGCCUCCCGCGGACGCCGUCUCUCCAGAACUCCGCUUCCAAGAGGGAGCCUUUGGCUGCUUUCUCUCCUUAAACUUAGAUCAAAUUUUUUGGUUUUUAAUCAGUUAUCUUGGGAACUUAACCUGGCCCCUCACCUCUUCUGCACCCCCCGCCCCCGAAACUGUCUCGUAAUGAAUUUCUGCUGUCCUCCUGGGAGUGGACGGCCGGGUCCCGUCCCCCGGGAGCAUCGCUCGGCUCAGCACCUUGGCUCCCAGUGGGGGCCCCGUGGAGGGCGCCCGUAGUGAUAAGCACACCGGCACGAACGUCAGGUCCAUUCCUCGAAGUCGGAGCCCUCACUCUGCCCUGUCCUGGGGCUGGCUGAGGGCGAACGCCCCACCUCACUUUCUAGAGCCCUGUCUGUCCUAGCUCCUAUCUGACCUUGUGUGUAAAUACGUACAUCUGUUUUUAAAGUGGAUGGGCCCCUGAGAACUCAGUGAAAUGCAGAGUUCUCCAUGCACCUAAAGCUCCUUUGUCGCUCUCAUGGCUGUCAGAUCCUGGUCCCUCCACACUGGGUGCUGGGGAGGGAGGACCCUCGGGGCUACCGCGCGCCCCCCCAUCCCACAGAUCAGGAGCCAAGGAGGGAGAACAGGGCAGCCUGUGGGACUCUAGGAUGCUUCAGAAGAAGCGACGGCACCGUCAACCCUCUGUUUUUUAAAGGUGGUUGGAGACUGUUAACACUGAGCUCAUUGACUUCUAGAGAUUUUAUUUUUACUGGUUGAUCUCUUGGUGGUUUUCAACUUCCUGCUGGAAACUAGAGGUGGGGCACCCCCCACCCCCCAGCCUCGCACUGUGUCCUUGGGGAAGGCCCGCCCCCAUCCUGGCCGGUGUCACUGUGGCCCGGCCACCCCUGAGCGCCCAGCUCCCUACCUCCUGGACGUCUCUGAGAGUCCAGGCAGAGCAGAGGGCAGCGCUCGGCCGGUCAUGCUGGCUCCCUUGGCCUUGCAGCGAGCCCCUGGCCCACGCCGAGCGAGGGAUGCUUCUCCCUACAGCAUGUCCACUCCCCCGGCAUGGCCAGGUGGGGCCCCUGGGGCAAUGGCAGUGGUAGAACGCUCAACUUGGUUGCGGUACCAUCAGCCCACCUGCAUUUGGCUUUCGACUUGCUUGUUCUAAGUCACAGCGCCCUCAUCUUUUUAGCAAGGUAAAAAAACCAAAAUGGGUGUUAUCUCUGAUAUCUUGAAACCAGCGUUCUGAAUAGAGGUAGGUUGAGUUUUCUAGGGGAAAACAAAUGGAGAAAAGAGGCAUGAAGAAAAGUAAACCGAGAACAUAAUUAGGCAUCGGGCCUAAGUGUCCUGGGGAGAUUGGAGGGGACGGCAGCGUUCUGCAUGAUGGAGGCGCUGCCGGGCCCCGGGUCUGUGGGGGCCGUGCUCUCAGGGCGUGUGCGGGACGCCACCUGUGCACACCUGCUCAGAGCACGGCUCCUCGCAGGGGUGAAGGGGCAGACCAACGAAACCAGAUGAGACCAACGACACCAUGCGAGACACGCUUGCAGACACUGUUGUUUUGGAAAUGUGCUUCCCUCCAUCUGAAAUCUCAUCCCUCCACCCGCCCACUCGGGCAGCUGUGCCGUGGGCAGGGCAUGCGCUCCCCUGGCUGAGCACCCCAGAGAUUCUCCUGCACCUUCCUCAUGCCGCACGCUGCUCAUCCGUCUCCAUGUGUGUUUAGAUCCAUGCCAUUCACUGACUCACUAACACCUGCAAAAUCUUUAAGGAAAAAAGCUGAAGGGUACGACCAUGCACAUAUGUGACCUGGAAAAUGCAAAUUUAGAUCUUUUAUGAUUUAAUUAUUAUUGUUUCCCAUAGAAGUUCCCUCCCUUUGAAAUUAAUAUAUAAUGUAUAAAUUCUGCACUGAGCCAUGGCGGAGCUGGGCAGCCCCUAGGUUAGAGUGGAGACGGAGGCCCAGGCGCAGGGGUCACACCUCAUCUGGUUUCCUUCCCAUCUCACAGCUUAGCUUGUGCUUCUCAACACCAAGUCUUUAAGAGCAAUAAAAACUACACCAUGAA
rnacentral:lncRNA from 1 species